rnacentral:rRNA from 1 species
AGCAGCCGCGGUAAUUCCAGCUCCAAUAGCGUAUAUUAAAGUUGUUGCAGUUAAAAAGCUCGUAGUUGAGUUUCGGGAUCAAGUCGUCGGUCGUGCUCAGGUACGUACUGGCGUCAUUGAUUUCUCCUUUCUGACGAACCAUGAUGUCAUUAAUUUGGUGUUAUGGGAAAUCAGGACUGUUACUUUGAAAAAAUUAGAGUGUUUAAAGCAGGCUCACGCUUGAAUACAUUAGCAUGGAAUAAUGAAAUAGGACGUUCGAUCCUAUUUUGUUGGUUUUAGGAUCAACGUAAUGAUUAAUAGGGAUAGUUGGGGGCAUUAGUAUUCAAUUGUCAGAGGUGAAAUUCUUGGAUUCAUUGAAGACUAACUACUGCGAAAGCAUUUGCCAAGGAUGUUUUCAUUAAUCAAGAACGAAAGUUAGGGGAUCGAAGACGAUCAGAUACCGUCGUAGUCUUAACCAUAAACUAUGCCGACUAGGGAUCGGAUGAUGUUAAUUUUUUAAUGACUCAUUCGGCGCCUUACG